rnacentral:rRNA from 1 species
GAGGGGGGAUCAUUACCGAGUUUACAACUCCCAAACCCAAUGUGAACGUUACCAAACUGUUGCCUCGGCGGGGUCACGCCCCGGGUGCGUCGCAGCCCCGGAACCAGGCGCCCGCCGGAGGAACCAACCAAACUCUUUCUGUAGUCCCCUCGCGGACGUAUUUCUUACAGCUCUGAGCAAAAAUUCAAAAUGAAUCAAAACUUUCAACAACGGAUCUCUUGGUUCUGGCAUCGAUGAAGAACGCAGCGAAAUGCGAUAAGUAAUGUGAAUUGCAGAAUUCAGUGAAUCAUCGAAUCUUUGAACGCACAUUGCGCCCGCCAGUAUUCUGGCGGGCAUGCCUGUCCGAGCGUCAUUUCAACCCUCGAACCCCUCCGGGGGAUCGGCGUUGGGGAUCGGGACCCCUCACACGGGUGCCGGCCCCGAAAUACAGUGGCGGUCUCGCCGCAGCCUCUCCUGCGCAGUAGUUUGCACAACUCGCACCGGGAGCGCGGCGCGUCCACGUCCGUAAAACACCCAACUUUCUGAAAUGUUGACCUCGGAUCAGGUAGGAAUACCCGCUGAACUUAAGCAUAUCAAUAAGGCGGAGGAA